ACUAACCUCAGCAUUUAGGCUGCCUCUCACUGCUCAUGUCUGAGUGCUGAAGCUACACAGGUUGAAUACUGUUAGUGCUUGGAUGGGAGGCCACCUGGGAAUACAAGGUGUUGUAGGUUAGUC
rnacentral:rRNA from 1 species